UAUAUAUACCUGUAUAUCCAAAAUACCUGAAAAAUGAAUAAAAAUAAACUUCAACUUUAUAAAAAAUAUAUAUAAUUGAAGUUUAUUUUUAUUCAUUUUUCAGGUAUUUUGGAUAUACAGGUAUAUAUA